GUCAUAACUUAGGCGCCGUAAGAGAGAAAACAUGUGAAUGUUUAGGCUUUUUAUGACUAGGUGGGGGCCAUUAGGGGCUAUAAAAGGCUGAGUAACCCGUCACCAUUUUGAGACUUGCUGUGACCCUCUGCAGCCCAAAGAUUAAAAGAACUGGGAGAAAUUAACAACUUGGUGCCUGGUGACCCGGAUCUUUGGCGUGCUGAGGAGGGGCAGAUUUGGCCUGUGGUGAGAUCGUGGGGCGAGGCGAACAGAAAGGACCGGUCCAAACAGAAAGGCUGCUUUGCCGGCCCUGAAAGCCGAGGCUGACCUGGACUCCUGCUCUCCCCUCUACAUGACCCUGACCAAAUGCUGCAACAGCUGGACCCACAACAACAACCUGAAAAUGUCAACAGUGCUGCAGGAAUGCGAUCUCAUGCAGCAGAGACGGAGAGCACUAAACCUAAGGCCCGUUUCACUACACGGGGGAAAAUUCCCAGACUGCGUCAGCUGACAGAGCUGUGACGAGACGCCCGCCAAGCCCGAAUGAAAAGUGAGGCCGAGCAAAGGAAUGCUGACCUUAACAACUCUGCAUUAACACUGUGCAGGACAGUGAUGGACCAACACGCAUGAUCGGGCAGCAAAAGGUGCGUGGCCGAGACAGGAGGAGCAAGUGAGGUCAGAAGGCACCUCAGAAUGGACAAAAAUACAGGAGAAGAAGAUGCAGGUUUCACCUACGGUGAGCAUGGACAUUGGAGAAAGGACUGCCCCAAUUGGGGUCAGAACCAGGAUGGACAGAACUUCGAGCAGCAGCA
ensembl:lncRNA